CCUACGGGAGACAGCAGUGGGGAAUAUUGGGCAAUGGGCGCAAGCCUGACCCAGCAACGCCGCGUGAAGGAAGAAGGCUUUCGGGUUGUAAACUUCUUUUAUCAGGGACGAAGCAAGUGACGGUACCUGAUGAAUAAGCCACGGCUAACUAAGUGCCAGCAGCCGCGGUAAUACGUAGGUGGCAAGCGUUAUCCGGAUUUGCUGGGUGUAAAGGGCGUGUAGGCGGGAGUGCAAGACAGAUGUGAAAAAUAUGGGCUCAACCCAUAGCCUGCAUUUGAAACUGUACUUCUAGAGUGAUGGAGAGGCAAGCGGAAUACCGUGUGUAGCGGUGAAAUGCGUAGAUAUUCGGCGGAACACCAGUGGCGAAGGCGGAUUGCUGGACAGUAACUGACGCUGAGGCGCGAAAGCGUGGGGAGCAAACAGGAUUAGAUACCCGAGUAGUG
rnacentral:rRNA from 1 species